rnacentral:tRNA from 1 species
GCCAGUGUAGCUCAGUUGGUAGAGCAAUCCCUUCGUAAGGGAGUGGUCGCGGGUUCGAUUCCCUCCACUGGCU